CUUGUAUAAUAAUUUCUGGGAGCCGCUGUUAACGAUUCCGUCGCGCGUUAUGUGAAAAGCCUUUAAGUAUUAGGUCAGGGAACAAUAUGAAGGAAAAACGCGCGCGUAUAGAAAUGUUAAGGGAGCGCUAAAUCUACGCGGACAAUACACAGAUAU